UGCAAGUCGAACGGUAACGACAGAAACAAUCCUUCGGGUGCGUUUCUGGGCGACGAGUGGCGGACGGGUGAGUAAUGCAUAGGAAUCUGCCCAGUAGCGGGGGACAACCUGGGGAAACUCAGGCUAAUACCGCAUAAGCCCUACGGGGGAAAGCGGGGGAUCUUCGGACCUCGCACUAUUGGAUGAGCCUAUGUCUGAUUAGCUUGUUGGUAGGGUAAUGGCCUACCAAGGCGACGAUCAGUAGCUGGUUUGAGAGGAUGAUCAGCCACACUGGGACUGAGACACGGCCCAGACUCCUACGGGAGGCAGCAGUGGGGAAUAUUGGACAAUGGGCGCAAGCCUGAUCCAGCAAUGCCGCGUGUGUGAAGAAGGCCUGCGGGUUGUAAAGCACUUUCAGUAGGGAGGAAAACCUCAGGAUUAAUACCCCUGUGGCCUGACGUAACCUACAGAAGAAGCACCGGCUAACUCCGUGCCAGCAGCCGCGGUAAUACGGAGGGUGCGAGCGUUAAUCGGAAUUACUGGGCGUAAAGCGCGCGUAGGUGGCUUGGUAAGUCGGAUGUGAAAGCCCCGGGCUCAACCUGGGAAUUGCAUUCGAUACUGCUUGGCUAGAGUAUGGUAGAGGGAAGUAGAAUUCCUGGUGUAGCGGUGAAAUGCGUAGAUAUUAGGAGGAAUG
rnacentral:rRNA from 1 species